rfam:Oreochromis niloticus linkage group LG8-24, whole genome shotgun sequence.
GAGGGCAUAGCUCAGUGGCAGAGCAUUUAACUGCAGAUCAAGAGGUCUCCGGUUCAAAUCCGGAUACCCCCU